ACUUCUGCCUCUUCCCAUCCCCUUGCAUCCUCAAUUCCUCAUCAUAGCCGCCCAGGCCCGCUUCUCUCUCGUCACCACCAAGCUCACCUCCGCUCCCAACCUCACGCCGUCCAUGACCGCCAUCAUGCUCCUCGCCAUCGGAAAUGGCGUCCCGGGCGUCUUCACCUCCGUCACCACCGUCUGCCGCGGCAACUACCGGACAUGGUUCGGCGCGAUCCUCUCUGCUGGGACGUCCGUCGGGGUCUACGGGGCCGGUCUCGCUCAACUUGGUGAGGAACGUCAUGUUCUAUUUGAUUUCAGUUCUUGUUCUAUAGGACCUGGUAAUUUUUCUAGCCACCACCUUCCGUGCAUCACAUCUCGAAGAAAAACAAAGGGUUUUUAUCGAAGCAAUCUGAGGCCGCCCCAGAUAGACUUUUGAAAUUGCAUAGAUCAGGUAAUGGAUGGUAAUUUAAGGUUGGGUCAUGAGGCAUGUGGUGGGCUCAAAGAGAUCUUGUUGAGCAAUGAUCUGUGUUGGAAAUAGAGGUUAGGGUUCUGAACGUUUUUGUGCUUUCUUAUGAUAAUUGGUUUUGUUCCAAGGUUGGUUGUUGAUGAUUAUGACAAUGCAUGAGUUUCUAUGUUUCAAGAUGUAUCUGCGGGGAGCUGUGUUUGGUUAUAUUCUCCUCCCUUAUAAUUUAUUUGAACUGUAAUUAUGAAGGUCUCUUUGGGGCAGGUAACAAUAUUUCUACUUUUCAGUUAGAGUGAAUACGAAAUUGUUUAUUCUGGAACUUGUGACUUUAGUGAUACAAUUGGUCCGGGAGCAUGGAAUAAAAUGAAGCUUUUUGAUGCACAAUAGUCCACUUCUAGUGCUUUGGCUGGCACUGGAACUGAGGUGAUUGUUUCUUGGCCAAUUCAUCAUGUAAUUUGGCAUGAUGCAGAAGCUUUCUGGGCUGCAAUGGAGUUUGGUGACUCCUAGGUUGGUAGAUGCAGUGAAGCUAUCAUUCAAAUUACUUCUCGAUCAGGAGAACUUGGUAUCAUAGUGGAGUGCCACAGGCCUGUACAAAACCUCUAAAUAAGAACUUUUAGCGCGGCAAAUGUGUCUCCACUCUAUAGUGAUGAGUUCAAAGUGCAAGAGCGAGUAGACAAUAUUUAAAGAUUUGGGGAACUGAUCAGGAGCAUGCCAAAAAGAUGAGGAGUUCAUUGCAACACUUUCCAGCAAACCAACAACCAAUAAUUUGGUUACUAGUAUGUUGGAUUUAGUACACAAGUAUCUCUAGACUGUUUUGAAUUAUUAUUGAUCUAACUAUUUUGAAUUGGUAUUGACUGUAACUUGUAAAGAAUACUUUCGGUUGAUAUAUUCUUAUUUUGUCUA